AAGCAAUGCGCACAGGAAUUCUGUUGUUGUUUUUGUUCCUACGCACAUGCCAUUCAUAUGAGGUGGUGUUUGUGCUUCGCUCGCGGUGGCGGUGGACGUCACUGUCUGGAACUGCGCAGGCCUCAUGGUCAGAGGGAUAUGUUUAGGGCCCUCCACAGUGAACCUGAAGACAAGGAUAUCAGAAGACAAAUAGACCUCCAGGUUCCUUAGGAUGUGUCUCAAUGGGCAGGUGAGGGCAGACCCAAAUUAAUUGCACCCACACCACGUCACUCAGGUGCAAGGCACUUCUAGCCCAGAAGCUGUGUGACUCUGCAGGCAGCACUGUGCCAACAUGGGGCAAAACCUGCAGUUUGGCUCAAUACCCACCUGGCGUUGGAUGCAAACAAACCUGUGAGUCCUACACCAAGUCUACAUCUUGGCCUGCCUUCUUCAGUUCACUCCGUUGGUACAGCUGGGCUCUCAGUGAACCAGAAAGUGUGAGGUUUGCCAGAACUGAAGAGCGUGUGAAUGGGUUUGUGGAGGUGAGGGAAAAACGUGUAUUUUUUUUUUUAAACCUGAAAAACUAGCUUACCUGUGCAUCAUAAUAGGGAUUUUGGAAUUGAGACUAUUGUAAUGGUUGUGGUCUAGAGUCAUUAGAGCAGUGCUGCGCUACUGGGACACUUAUAGGCUACCUCCACACUUACCAUUGCUCAGAAGACAGACAUUCUCUUCUUCCUUUAGCUAAGCCUGCCUGAACUGGGGGGCUUUUGCAUGACUGUGAAGGAAAGAACUUAAUUCUUCUUUAUGACCUGCUUCAAACAAAGCUACAGCAACCAAAUGGACCGUGCUGUGUGAAACCCAACAUCAUGCUCGUGUGAGUCAAAUAUCCCCCUCUGGUGCUGGAGAGUUCAGCUAAAGAGCAAACAACGGUAAACACCAGCAGCUGAAAGUGGGUGUUCUUUUGCUUUCUUCAUGGCAACAGCCCAGCAGACUGACGGAGAUCAAAAAUUACCUUAUCACCUGGAGGUCUGCAGAGAAGCCAAGAGAUGUUGAAACCUCCCACCACCUCCAACAUCAAAGGCUGCAGCAGGUAUCUUUCCAGGUGCUUUUUCACAGCCAGCCUCAGUGAAAGCUCCCAUUCAAAAGGCAGUAACUCGGGAACAUUAGGUGUAGCUUCUGGUGGCUGAACCGGUUAAAGUUACCCUUCAAUGUCACCAGAAUAGCACACUAAAAGGGGAAAUUCAAGGAGGAAAACAAAAAGAGUCCUACCUAGGGGAUUGGCUGCUUUACAGGGGCUGGUAAUGAGAUCAUACUGCCAUGAUUCAAGGUCACAAAUUUGACUUUAGAUAAGGUGUAGCAACAGCCUCAAUCUGUAAUGGUGACUGUUCAGCAGCCUGUGUGACAUUAAUGGGUAGUCUCUUGUAGCCUUUUAAUUUAACAAGGUGAUUGCUAUAAGUUUUGUAAAAAAAUACCUCCAAACACAACUACUAAAAUGAGCUGGCGUGUGAUAGUGAACAACAAAGUUCACUGAAGCCUUUUGUACUGAUGCAUUGAAUGAUGAUGUAUUCACACCACUUUGCUGUUCUUUGUUAGAGCUUGAGGGCAGAGAUGUUAACAAAGGAUGUUCUGUAUAUUUGCAACAUAACAAAAUAAAAGAUUUUUUUUCCAGUAGGGCAUAACUACUAUCACAUAUGACUCUAACUUUAAAUGUGCCAUAAGGUAGCAGCACUGUCCAGAAGCUAGGCCUCUUCUACCUUUCAGCUUGCUGAGAACAACUUGUCUGAAAAGAUGCAGGCUGCUUUCUGCUCUGUACCUUUGUGCAGGGAGAAUUCAGAGUUCCUGGUGCAGUCCCAUCGUGCUGUGCUCGCCUCCUUUAGAGUUCAC
rnacentral:lncRNA from 1 species